CUGCCAGACCUGCCUUUAUAGAUAACGCCCGCUUCUUCCACUCUGAACUAAUUAAUACAACAGUUCUCAGCUGCCUGCAAUCUUUCCUGUUCCUCCACAAGUUUCUUGUAUUGAGGUCCAAAUUAAGUGUUCCUUUACAAAGGAUCAUUUCUAGAUUCACAACCAUUGCCCCAAGUCCCAGCCCUCAAACCAACCUCUAUACUGCCAGUGGAACUUCUACAGCUAUGAGUGUCGGUAACAUGUAUUUGAGGAAGAGAAUGGACAGAUUCUGCAGUGGAAUACCAUGUCUAAUUUGAAUGAUUGGUUUAGUCACUUAUAAGGGUAACCACAGUCUGACAAGUCACUUCAGGACGACGCCUACAAGGUGGAAACACGACAUUGGCUCUGCAGGGACCGGACAGAGUUGGAAGCUCAUUUUGCCUAUGGUGGUAAUUGGAGUACUUAGUGGACAUGUUUUCAGGAUGGUUUCAUUGCUUGGCUCUGAUCUGAUUUGCAGUAACAUACUAUGUACCACGGGGUCAGGGCCUAAUGGAAGAGAUCGCAUGGGACUUUGGGGGGAUAUUUUGGUUAGUUCGUUUUUUUCUCUUUUGAGUGUCCACAAUUAA
rnacentral:lncRNA from 1 species